rnacentral:rRNA from 1 species
ACCGGAAGAAAUUCCGCUAAUACAGCAUAACACUCCUGAGGGACAUCCUUCGGGAGUCAAAGGAGGCAACUCCGGUGACGGAUGGGCAUGCGGCGCAUUAGGUAGUUGGUAGGGUAACGGCCUACCAAGCCGACGAUGCGUAGGGGUUCUGAGAGGAAGGUCCCCCACAUUGGAACUGAGACACGGUCCAAACUCCUACGGAAGGCAGCAG